AAAUCAAAUGAGAGAAUCAAAAUAAACCCCAACCGUGAGAUCCUUAUGCAAAUGGAAUAUCAAAUCGCUUCAUUUAUUAAUUGGAUAACCAGAGAAACUCAAGACUCACGGUCACAAAGUUAAACCCGCUCUCUAGCAACAAGAAGGGAGACAAUGAAAGCAAGUAACAAUCCAAUCGCCAUUGAUGGAGACACAAGAGUGCUUGAAUUUUUAGCAGGAGAAGGAGUAGGAGUAGAAGUAGGAGACAUGACCAUGCCAGGAGUGUGUUCAUGGCCUUCAUGAGCAGCAACAACCAUGACCAACAGAGACAGAGCAAAAAUGGCAGCAACCGUCCCUAACCUUGUAGCCAUUCCAAAAGCCAUAUAGUGUUAACUUGAUCUUAAUUAAAGAUUUAAGAGAAUGUUAUAUAGAGAAUGUGUUGUUGACUUGAAUUAUAUAGCUGUUGUUGUGUCUUGGUCGGCCAGUUGGCUACUUGGUUUCCAAGGGCUCGUUAUGGUCAAGGUGGUGCCAAGUCAGCUAACUGUUGCUAUUGUACAAUUUGUCCAGUUCAAUCGUAUUUAAUUUUCGCUGAAAUCUAGGGACUAGGGUUGAUGCUUCCACAUUUCUUAAUCAUCAUUGAAAUGUCAAGGAAGGAACCCAUCUUGUACUGUACUAAUUAUGUAUAAUACUAUACUAUGAUUUGUACUAGACAUUUAUGUUUGGUGUGUGAUAUUUGCCGCCCUGACGUGUAGAACGAAGCUUGAAAUGAUUAAUUAAUUAAUUAUUUAAAUAAAAUUAUUUGGUGCAUACCACGUAUUUGCAUUCUCUUUUACAUUUAUUGGUUUUUAGAGAAUUUCAUUUUAUUCGAUUUUGUUGGUUUGAAUUUGAUUGAACCCAUCAUUUGCAUGCCCGUAAUCGAGUAUAUUUAAUAAUUUAUAAAUACAAAUUAAAAAUCUAUUUUUUCUUUAAGUUAUUUUAUUGUUAUUGUAUUUUUUUUUGAAAAUAUAUUGUUAUUUUAUUUUAUAAAUCGUGUUAGUAUAUUAUUAAAAUAUAUGUUUUUCUGCGGCCUGUUUAUUAGAUUAUCGUGUUAUAGAAAUUGUAAUGCAAUUAACUUAUUUUAAAUAAUUAAAAAUUCAAUUAGUCAUAUUUAGAUUUCAGUUAAAGUUUAUAAUUUAAACAAUUUAAACAUUUUAUCUUAUCAUAAAUAAUUCUAUAUAGAUAAAAUUUUACAAUUCAAAUAAUUCAAUAUGGAUAAUCUAUAAAAAAAUAUUAUUUUUAAUUUAAUUAGUAAAAUAUAAUGUAAUUAUCUAGGUUUCAGAUAAAGUUUAUAAUUCAAACAAUAUAAACAUUUUACCUUAUCAUAUAUAAAUAUUAUUUUUAAUUUAAUUAGUAAUAUAAUUUAAUUAUUCAGGUUUAAAGUUUAUAAUAAUUCAAACAAUUUAAACAUUGUAUCUUAUCAUAAAUAGCUAUGUAGAUAAAGUUUAUGAUUCAAAUAAAUUAAUAUGGAUAAUAUAUAGAUAAAUAUUAUUUUAAUUUAAUUACUUAACAAUACAAAUAUAAUAUAUUAUUUUUAAAUAUUUUUUCUAUAAAAUAUAAAAACAAAUACAAAAUAAAAAUUCUUUAUAUUCAUAUCUAUCAAUUCCAAAUAAGAAAUAUUUUAAUAUAUAUAAUUUAAAUACAUUAAAAAAUAGGAAGUUUUAUACCAAAGGAAGUUAUAAUUAUAUAUUAUUUAAAAAAUUAAAAAAGAAAUUUAAGAAUUUUGAAGACAUAAUUUUAGACGGUAAAUAAAAUUUUAAAAAAGAAUUUCUAGAAACUCUUGUGCUUAUUAAUAUUUUUUUUCAAAACAAUUGGGUCUUAUUCUUAUUACUUUUUUUUUUCAAACUAUAAUUUAUGAAUUUAUAAAUAUAUUAUAUAAAACUCAAAUUUAAAUUCAUAAUAUCUAAAUAAAAAUUUUAAUCAAGUAUUUUAUAAAUUCUAAAUAAUCAACAAUUUAAAUAUAUGAUUUUUUAAUAACAACAAAAUUAAUUUUAAAAUCGCUAAUAAUUACUUUUCAUAAAAUGCCCAAUUAAGAGUUUUUGGAUCAAAUUAUUUGUUUUCUUAUAAGAUGAAGCAAUUUAUUGUUUUAGACAUUAUUAAUUAUGUCAAAAUUAUAAUUAAGUAGUUUUAGGAAUUCCUUAGAAGUGAGAAAUGAUAAUAACAUUACCUUUGUAUAAACUAUAAAAUAUUGAUCAAUUUUAAUAUCCAAUAAAUGAUAAUAAUAUUACUAACUCAAAAAAAAAAAAAAAAACUCCCUUCAAAGCAUAAAUUGAAAAAAAAAAAACGCAAGCGAAACAGAAGAGAAAAAAAUGAGAAAAUUAAAUCAUGAGAAAAGAAGCAUCCAAAAAGAUAAUGAGAAAAGAAGAUCAAAGACUAAAAGGAAACCUAUAAACAAAAUUUAUUUUUCUUAUUUAGAAUUCAAAGAAAGGAAAGAAAGCAAGUGAAAGAAAAUUUAAUCUGAGAAUGAUUGGUGGAGGCUAUUUAUGUUCAAUGGAAGGAAAAUAAAAAUUAAAGAGGCGUAGAGAUACAAAUAAAAAUUAAGAUUCAAUGGUAGGAAAAUAUAUAGCUAGAUAAGAUUAAAUUUCAAAAAUGUUAGUUAUUAUCACAAAAUAUUAAUUUUUAAAUUUUAAAAAUAUUGAUUAUUAUCGUAAAAAAUUAAUUUCUAAAUUUAAAAAUAUUUUAAUGACUGAUCAAAUUUUUACAAACAAAGAAAAAUCAUAGUGAAAAAAGAAAAAAAUCCAAAAAUUUAUAAAAAAACCGAAAAUAGAAAGCUGAAAGAAGAGAGUGACACAUUAAUAUUUUUGAAAUAUUUUUUUGCUUCAGUAUUGUAUAUAGAUAUAUAGAUAUAACAUAUGCUUUCAAUUAAUUUGUAUUUAUGUGUUUUCUGCUAAGUUAAAUGCUUGGAGCAUUUGGAAAAAAAAAAAAUAUAAAUAAUUUUGAUUUGUAAUUUAUUCUGUUAAUUUUACACACACAUUAUCUCAUUUAUUUAAAAAGAUUUGAAAUUUAAUUUUUAAUAGAUUAAGUCUAAUAUUAUUAAUCAGUUAAAAUAAAUAAACUGUCACAUAAGGUUUCCUAAUCAAAGGGAAUGAUGCAAUUUAUGCGUGAGUCCAUUACGAAAUAACCAUUAAAGUAGAUUGCAUUUUAGUCCAUAAGAUAUUGAUUACUAGUUUGUCAAUAAUCAAAAGAUAUCGCCAGAGACACAAACUUGGAGCACGUAAAUUGUAAAAUGGGGCCCAACCAAAACCCAGUUUUAAGAAAAAAUGGCUGGAUAUUAGCCACUCUUUCCGAAAAUACAUUUUGGGCCUUUUUGGUGAGGUUUUGUUUCCAUCAACAGACCCUGAUUAGGCCCAAACCAAACCCGCCGGUUCUUGUUUCGAAGUCAUUCGGAUAGCUGAUAGGGAAGAGCACAGAAAAAAGCUUCUCUUCUCGUGGUUUUACGACAUUCCGGAGACCGGCCGCUUUAUCAUCUCCUUCCUUUCUUGCUCUUUCUCAAUCCCUCUGUGCAGCUCUACUGACUACUGACCGCAGGAUAAGAAACUGUACUCCCUAUGCACAUCUAAAACUCAGUCACACUUAUGGACUACUCUUCUACUCUCUCUACCUCCCUUCAUCCUAAGGUAAAUGUACUACUCCAUUGUCAAUUCGUUACUCUCUUCUUUCUCUUCUCUACUAUUAGAGCUAUAAUAUGACAAUUCUAUUGUUCGAUAAAGAUUUCACUCAGGCUACGAGCCGAUGAUUCUGUCAGCUCCACUUCGUGCUAUCGUGUCCACGGGUUGCUACUAUCGUUGCCCUAUGCUUCAUCGUCGUUUGCUAGUAGACGAAGAUGUUUCAGGUUCAGAAGUCUGGUUGUGAGGGCGAACGGUGGUGCGCGGCGGCCGGCUAGUGGCCGGAAAGUGUAUCGGCAGUCUCAGGGAGAGAGUGCGUUCCCUAACGCUCCGGUCCAGCAGAUUGCCUCCUUUGUUGUUCCUGCUGGGGCUUUUGUUGCCAUUACUUUUGGUAUGGAAAAUGGAAAUUUUGCAGGUUACUGCUUUAGAUGGUUUUUAAUGUGUAGAGUAUUGUUAGUUUAGCUCCAUUUUGAAGCAUUGCCUCCGUGAUUGAACAUAACUACAACGAUACAAUUAUCUGAUCAAUUGGAAUUAAAAUAGUUGUUGUCUAUGAUUAUAGGAACACAGGAUUUGAUACUUUUUGUUUCUAAUUCGAUGUGGGCACUGGCCAAUUUAGUCCUCUUGUUUUUAGAUGUACUAAUUUCUGCUUUCAGCUGACAGUUAUGUGGAAAUUAGUGGAGAAAGUAAUGAUGCCAAAGCCAAAAAGGCCAGUGGUGAUGGAAAAUAAAUCUCCAUCCAAAGGAUUAAAUUGGUCUUUUGGUUCUGGAACAAAUCUAUUUCCUGGUCUUACUGCAAAGAUUGACAGAGAGGCCAAGCAAAAGCUCAAUCAAUUUUCCAAAGAACUUAGGUCAUUCAGCAUUGUUGACAUGUCAGGUAUGCUGGCUAGAUCAAUUUGAGUCCAUUAGGGUUUAUGUAGAGCGAGAGAGAAAUGAUUCAAUAUUUGCAUGCUGUCGGUUUACUUUUAAGGCUUUCCGGAUAGAAUUUCAUUUUCUACAUGUUUAUAGGGUUUUUAGUUGUAGUAUACUUCGAUAUUCUCUAUUAGAUUGCAAAAUGUGAACAUUUAGUGUCGUUAAAAACUUUGUGUUUGUUGGUUCCUUAAUCAAUUGAUACCAUUUUGUGUCCUUUAUAAUCUUUCGAUAGUGUCCUUACUCCUAAGUUAAUGAACAGAGAAUGGAAAUUCGUACGAUUUUUCAGAAUUUGAUGGCUACCAAUUGAUGUGAAACUAGUAUGUUAUAGUGUGAAAAGGUGUGGGUAUCAAAAUAACAGAAUUCAAGGGAAAUUAUGCAAGGAAUGUAAAGUUUCGGGUAUCUGAUUUAUCACUUUGCCAGUAAUGUGAACUGUGAAAUCCUUACGUGCCAUGCCUAGAAUUUGUUAGGUAUCACCUCCAGUAUAUUACUAUGUCAAAUUAGAGUUAAAUUUGCUAUAUCAAUAUAUAACAAUCCCAAAGAUAAAGAUUGUUAUAAAGUUUCAGAAAUUUCUGCAAAGCACAUAAAAUUAUUGGCCCCUUAAAUGAAAAUAUGUGAACUUUGACUCUAAUCAGAUUUGAUAAUGUAACCUAUGCUAGACAAUAUAUUGAGAACCAUAGUCAUAAUCAGACUUGAUAAAUAUAUUCAACCUUCAAUUAUGGAGCAGAAACUAUCAAAACAAACUGGACUUGUAAAACUAAAAAAUAUUAGUUAAGGUAAUGCUGAUUAAACGCUGGAGCAUAAUUUAGGUCUAUGUUUUCUUUGACAUUUCAAAUGCAAUCAGAAGAAUUUGUUUCUUUUCAUUCAGCUUUUUCUUUCUUUUGUUAUGACUAUCUUCUUCAACGUUUCAAACUUAUAAUUGUUAUAUAAUUACAUGCCUUCCACUUUAAAUCUGAUCUUGAACUUCAAAUAUUUAUCAGGAUGUAAUUUUGGAGAUGAAGGACUAUUUUUCCUUGCUGAGAGCUUAGCAUACAAUCAGGUUAUGCUUCUUCGAACAUUCACUGCAGAUCUCUUCUUGAUUCUUCUAGUGUUAGUUGUUUUUAUUUGGUAAUUUUGAAUGCAGUUAACUCUUAUUUGACCGACUUUGAAAACACAUCAAUGAAAUUGUUCUUUAUGAAUUAACUGAUAGUAUAUUAGCUGUUUUUCAGACUCUAGAGGAAGUUAAUUUUGCAGCAAAUGGAAUUACCGCGGAAGGAAUAAAAGCCUUCGACCGUGUUCUUCAGUCAAACAUUGUAUUAAAGACACUAAACUUGUCUGGGAACCCUAUUGGAGAUGAGGGAGCUAAGGUCAGGCCCUGUCCACUUUUCUAUGACUAGCUGUUGAACAUUUGAAAAAUGCAUCUCAAAAGGAAAGAAGAAAAAAGGUUUGAAGUAGGUUAUUGUAAUCAUCUGAAUAUAUUAGGACAACAAAUAUUGGAUACGAAAAAGAUUAUAGAAAAACUCAUUAUGAGUUUUGGUAGUCUUAAAUUGGUUAUCAGUGAAUAUAAUCAAGAAUUAUAGUUGCUUUUUAUGUUUAUUGCUGAAAUCUUUUUGAAUCACAUGUUUGAAGUUAGGAUGACGCUUCUUUUGUUAUAAGUGACUUUUUGAAUUUUGUGCUUCUAAAGAUAUAACUUCCUCUUCUUUUAUCCCUCUAAUUGGAAAACCAUAUCAAAUGGCUUGUUCCAUUUUCCUGUAAAGGAUGGAUACGAUUGAUCCUGGGAUUAUGAAUUACCUUUCUAGUGAACACUAUUGUUCUUCUAUUUCAGGGUCUUGCUGUUAUUAUUUCAACCAUUGUAAACCUACAACCUUAAGAUCAUCCUGCAUUUAUUACUUGAAAAUUCAUUAUAGAUGGUUAAUAUUUUGGAUGUUACUAAUUUUCUUUUCUUGCAAACAGAGUUUAUGUGAUAUAUUAGUGGAUAAUAGGGGUAUUGAAAAGCUCCAGCUAAACAGUGCUGACUUGGGUGAUGAGGUUAGCUUUUAUUUUGUUUCAAACUGGUUCAUGAGACCCACAUUCUUGAACCUAUAAAAUUCAUAUGCAUAACUGAAGGGAUCUCCAGUGAUCAUAUGCCUGAAGUAGUGUUCAUUUUCUGCACAGGGUGCAAAGGCUAUUGCAGAAUUGUUAAAGAACAAUUCAAACCUGCGUGUGAUUGAACUCAACAACAACAUGAUUGAUUAUUCUGUAUGUAGUUACCUCAAACCUUCCUUAGAUUUUAGCUAAAUUUGUCAAAGUUGCUAAAUAUGAUUUCUUUUUGGAACCGGAAGUAGGGAUUUACAAGUCUUGCUGGAGCGUUUCUGGAGAAUAGCACUGUACGAAGUAUAUAUCUCAAGUGAGUAGUUCUCAAUUUUUUUUUUUUUUUUAAACUUUCUUUUUGGGCUACUAUUGUAGUAUGUCCUAUAUAUCUAUGCAAACCUUUGAAUAUUAAAUGGCUGGGUUCUUGAACAGCUUUAGAUAAAUAUUUCUAAUGGUGCACCUUAUUUAUGUUACUUCUGGAAAUCUUGCUGACAUUUUAUCACUGUUAAGUGGCAAUUAUGGUGGUGCUUUGGGGGCUAAUGCUUUUGCUAAAGGACUUGAGGGAAACAAGGCAUUAAGGGUACAUAUCAUGUUGGCCUUUUCUUCUACUUUUUCUAAUCCUUUGAUGUUCCAAAUGAAGUGGAUUUACAGAUUUCUAGAUUUGAUCUAAUUGUGAAUGAAGGAAUUGACAUGAGUACUGACUUCCUUUCCUGUCUCUUCAAAAAAUUUGUUUCUAAAAGCAUGGCACUGAGGUGUAAAUGCAAUAUAAAUUAUACCAUGUAAAGACAGUAUCUACCACCUUCUUAUCUUCUAUUAGGCAAAAACCAUCAAUCUUUUACAAAUGCUCAUAAAGAAAGGAAUUUUAUUUUUCUGAGAGCUCAAGUAGAUUAAGAGGAAAAAGGAGAGUGAAUCAUAAGAUUCUUCAUGCUAGAACUCAAGUAGCUUAUGCAAUUUUGCUUCUAGAAUUAAGUGUUGAUUACUUGUUUUGGAGCAAAUUUUAUUUUAUUUUUUUAUUUUUUUAUUUUUUUAUUUUUUUUUUAAACUAGCAUCUUACUUUGCUUGGCAUAGUGCCUUGUGACUGCAACAAAUUCAGUGGAUAAAUUAUGGUGUGAGGCAAUGUUAUCUCAAUCUUACUAAGUUUUGGAGUUGAUCUAUUAGUUUUCUUAUGUUAUGUGCUAAGAUGGAAUUAUGCUGCUACGACUUUGAAUAUAUAAGUAUGUUGCUUUUGAAGGGAUGAAGAAUUAACAGUGGAGUUAUUUUCAUUCAGGAACUUCACUUGCAAGGAAAUUCUAUUGGUGAUGAAGGUGUUCGUGCCUUGAUGUCUGGUUUAUCUUCCAGUAAAGGUGUUUCCUAUUGCUUUCUUAAUCAAUUUCAGAAAACACUGAAGUUCAUUGUAGUAAAUCUGGCUUGAAUUCUUGCUCUUCAGUUAAACUUACCCAUCUAGACCUUGGAAACAACUCAAUUAGUGCAAAGGGAGCUUUUCACGUUGCUGAAUAUAUCAAGAAGAGCAAGAGCUUGUUCUGGAUGAAUAUGUACAUGAAUGACAUUGGUGAUGAGGUGAUGAAAUUUCUGAAAUAUUUUCUGCAUCCACUAUUUAGCUUCUUGGAUACAUUUAAAUCAAAUUAAUGCUGAAAGAUGAUUAUAGCUUGGAUUUUCAUUCGGUUGAUAUUUUGUUUUCCUAAUAUUUGUCAGGGUGCUGAAAAGAUUGCAGAUGCUCUUAAGCUGAACCAAAGCGUGACAAUUAUAGACCUGGUGAGAAUAGAGUGCUUCACUUGAAAAAUUGCUUUCAUUUAUGCUUUAAUUACAUCCUGAGAGCUGUUUGAUAAACCAUUUCUAUCAACUCUAUAGGGUGGAAAUAACAUACAUGCCAAGGGAAUCGGUGAAAUAGCUCAAGUUUUCAAAGAUAACUCUGUCAUCACAACUGUGGGACCUUAACUCCUUUACCAUGAUUAAUCCAUUUCCUUUUUCUUGUCAAUUUUAAAUUGGAUAAUAAUAAGUCUAGUUUCCCUCUCUCUCUUUCUCUCUCUUUCAGUUGGAAGUUGGUUAUAAUCCUAUUGGACCUGAUGGAGCCAAGGCCUUGUCUGAAGUUCUCAAGUUUCAUGGAAAGAUAAAAGCAUUAAAGCUGGGUUGGUGCCAGGUAAAUAUCCAUAUAUCUGUGUGUGUGCACAAUUGUGAAUCAUUUGCUUAAUUAUUCAUAACCAUGUGACAUGGAUUAUCCUGCAGAUAGGACCAAAAGGUGCAGAGUACAUUGCAGAUACUUUAAAAUACAAUAACACCAUUGCGAUUCUAGACUUGAGAGGAAAUGGACUUAGAGAUGAAGUUUGUUCUUCACAAUUCAGAUGUCUUUUUAUGGAUUUUGGGUCAUUCUGAUAAGCAAAUUAAUGUUUCUUCUCCAUUUACACAAUAUUUGCAGGGUGCAAUCUGCCUGGCUCGCAGCUUGAAAGUGGUCAAUGAAGUUCUAACUGAACUUGACUUAGGAUUCAAUGAAAUAAGAGUAAAGAAUUGUUCUUUCUUGAAAUUUGUUUGCAAACUGAAAACAAUACGACUGUUUCAUAUUUGAACUUGUGGUACAGGAUGAUGGGGCUUUUGCUAUUGCUCAAGCACUUAAGGCUAAUGAAGAUGUGAAAAUUACCUCUUUAAACCUUGCAAAUAACUUCCUCACAAAAUUUGGGCAGGUGAUGUUUGCCUUCUUUGUCUUUUUCUCACUCCUGGAAAGUUAAUCAUUUUAUUUUUUUUCAUUUUCUGUGCAUUUGCAUGAAUAAACUCAUUUUAUGCAGAGUGCUCUCAGUGAUGCAAGAGAUCACGUAUUCGAGAUGAAUGAGAAGGAAGUUAAUAUUGUUUUCUAGCAGAGUUGAAUUUAUACAGUGAAAUAGUUUCCGUCAAUGUUAGAACAGGAGGAGAUAUUCUUUUUUUUUUUUUUUUUUUUUUUUGUCUUUUCCGUCAAGUAGAGGUAAGAACUAAUACAAUAAAGAUUUUUGAGCUACAGCCAAAUCAUCAAGUGUAGCAUUUUGGAACUUUUUGAUAUUGAGAAAUCAUACUUAGCUUGCCAUUUAAAGUUGUGUCACUGUACACUCCUUCCUUCCUUUAAUGAAGUUCAAAGUCAGACUACAAGCUUCCUUGUUUCUGUUGAUCUAUUCAUAGUAAAUGGUUGAUGAAUGUUUGUUGUGUUUGGUCCAAUCUUCUCUUUUUAUGCUGUUAGCCUAAUAUCUUCAUAAUAUUCUUACAACAGCUGAUUUCUAGGUUGUUCGGUCUCUGUCACAUAAGAGUGAUUUUUUAGAAGUAUGAUAUUUUUGUGGGAAUACUGAAGAUUAAUUAAACAUGUUGGUCGCAAUCACCAUCCAUUUUCACUAUGGGUUGGUGCAAGACUAAUAAAACAGAUUUUAGUUUGAAACGUGUGUAGUUAAUCUGACUGAAUGUAGUGAUCCGACCGAAGUGAAUAUUUGGCUGCCGAUGCUUUGUAAAUGGCUGUUAUUUUAAGAUUAAGAAGAUUUUAGAAAAGAUUUAUAUGAAAAGAGAAUGAGUCAUAUCAUAUGAAGUUAUAUUUAGGCGAAGCCAUGUAAAUACUUGGCAUACCUUAACCUUAGGAUUUGUGGGAGUUACUGUUGCCUCUUUGAAACAGAUGCACAAUUGUUAUUUUUCAUGUUUUUACACGUGACACAUUGUAAUUUUCUAUGUUUUAAGCUAAAUGCCUACUUGUUAUUGUUUUUUUUUUUUUUUUUUUUUUUUUUUUUUGUACGUUGGAAAUUUUUAUAGGGGAAUAAGGACUAUUUCAGGAUUCAAAGGUAAGCACCCCAUCAUUGAGCUAUAGUAUAAUGACAAUUGCUAAUGUUUUUAACUUAUAGUAAUUACGAGAUGAACUGUAGGUGGAGCCAUGGAGGGUCGGAGUUGGUGAGGAUAAAAAAAGAGAGAGAGAGGUAGGAAAGCUACAGGGACAAAUGUUUAGGUCAUGUGGUCCGUUGCACAGAAGGAUACAGCUAAUCAUCAGCGAAGCACCUCGCGGCUUGUGUCAUUGCAAUGUAUGUCUACAUGGGGUAUAAGAGCUGCAUUGCAAUCCCAAUCUCUUGAUGGCUUGACAAAAGCAAAUCAUGAGUCUGACGUAUUUCGUCUUCCUUACAUUCAUUUAGCCAACUGUGUUUUAGCUGUCUUUUGCCUACUGCCUCUCCACAUUCAAGGCAAAUUUACGCAACAAGCAACCACCCGGUUAGAGGUGGCCACGGUUCCGGAAUUAUCGGUUUUGAUUUUGGUUUUGAUUUUAAAAAAAUUUAGAAUCGAAAUCAAACGGUUACUGUUCCAAUUCCGGUUCUUUAACGGUGUCAAAUCAACGGCCGAUUCUCCAAUUGAUUUUCCGAUAUUAUAAAAUCAAAAGCUAUGGAACAUUUUUUUUUGUUGAAAAUUUAAAAUUUAAAUAUUUAUGAAAUAAUUUUUAAAAAAAACUUAAAUAAAAAAAAAUAAAAAAAGGCUUAACUUAAUUUAUUUAUUAAAGAAAAUGCUUGAACUUUUUUUUUUGGAAAAAUGACUUAAACUUGAUUUAUUUUUUAUAAAUGAAAUGAUGUAUUUAUAGUAAAUCUAAAAAAUUAAGUUUUCAUAAAUACCCUUAAAACGAGCCGUUAUAUAGUUGUUAGGAGGGUUAAUUUUGAGAUUUCACAAAAAUAUUUGAAAAAAUAAAAAAAUUUAUUGAAACUAGUGGAACCGCCGAUUCUAACCGGUUGAAAAAACUAGCGGUUCCGAUCAGUUCUCAAAAUCGCCUGUUUACAGUUCUUCAAAAGUUAGAAUCGGAAUUGAACCACAGACCUCCAAUUUCAGUUUCUCACAGUUUCAGUUUCAAUUCCCACCGAUUUCGAACUAGCGGUUCCCGUUCCAAAAACCGGAAAAUGGACACCCCUACAGCCAGUUAUCUGCUUCUAAUAUGCUCGUUCAAAUUCUGUUUAUGAUUUUUUUUUUCUCUGGAAAAAAAAAUCAACAUAAUUAAAUAAUAAAUAUUGAUUUUUUUUUUCUUAAAUAGCAUCUACAAGGCAAUAUCAAAAAUUCUUGUUUUGAAUGAUUAAAAAACGACGUCAUUUCAUGCUUGCAGUGAUGCGCAGGCAGGAGCCAGUACUUCCGAAAAUGGCGACGAAUUUUUCUACUAGUAUUGUUUAGUUUAGGUGGGAACGGAAUGGGAUACAGCUGUGCCCUUUCUUUGCAUUUGUCGAAUCAGCUUUUUGAUCGAAAACAAAUAAAGCUAAUCGAACUGUAUGUACCUAGGGAUGGCAAUUUUUUGGCUUUUUGUAUUUCUCUGUGACUUUGUCCUAUUUUUAUUACAUAUUAAUAUUUUUAUUAUUGUAAGGUAAGGAGAUUGUAUGGGUCUUGUCUGCCAUUAAGCAGUAUAUAUAUAUUAAUUUGAUGCUAAUCUUAGCUUUAUCAUGGUUGCUGAGAUCAGCCCACCAUCUUUGUCUUCUAAUUUAACACUACUUGCAUAAUGGUUAUCUAUUUUAACCAAACAUGCAGAAUUCUCUAGACUCCUGUACUAUAAUGUACGAAGUGCAUGUGCCUAACCACAGUGACUUUUUUAUUCAUUUUUAUACAAUUAAGACUUUUCUGCAAUUUAAAAAAAAAAUGGAUGGUUUAAUUUCAAUUAUUGUUUUUAAUCUUUGAUAUACUUGUUAAAAUAAUAUUAUUAUCAUCGGCAGUUAGAAAGUAAUAAAAAGAAACAGUUCCUGAUAGAGAUUUGAUAGCACACGAGUGGGCAGUGCACAAGGCGCACACAGAACAAAACAAGCCCGUGGGCGAAUUGGUAAUUGAGCCACCAAAGAAACGCCUAUAAAGAGCCACCAAUCACUACUCACAAGUCAGAGCUCCAUUUUCAAACACCUCAAAACUGCUACGUCAGCUUGUUUCGUUUUCAUCUCCAAUGGCUUCACGCACCCUUGUUUUAAUGGCAGUUUUUCUUUUCUGCAUAGCUCUGCAGGUACACUACACACCUAGAACUACCAUUUUCCUCUUAAUACUCCAACUGUGAUCUUUAUUAAAGAAAGUGAUUGCAGGUUUCAUCUGAUUUGGAGAUUAAUGAAGACCAUAGCGGAACUCAGUUGGUCAAAGGAGCUAACAGAAGGCUCCUGCCAUUCUUGGGUAGACCGGAACUUCUAUCUCCUAUACAUUACUAUUUUACAAUAAAUAAACUUAAAGAUAAUGGGUGGUUUGUUUUGUGUGCAGAUUGCGGAGGGUUGUGCAAGGUGAGAUGCAGUUUGCAUUCAAGGCCUAAUGUGUGCACAAGGGCAUGCGGUACCUGCUGCUUUAGGUGCAAAUGUGUGCCUCCAGGCACUUCUGGGAACAGAGAAUUGUGCGGCAAAUGUUACACUGACAUGACGACUCACGCCAACAAGACUAAGUGCCCUUAGAAUUAUAAUAAUAUGUAUUAUAGGAACCUCUCUGUUAGUGCUAAAACUUGAAAUUGCUAAUGUCUAGUUCAGUUGGGUUUAUCAUGUCAAAAUGUAUCCUGCUCUGUAUGUUACUUCAAUGAAGCUUUUGUGCAAAGUUUGGUACUAUUCUGGUUUUAUAUCUCUCUCAGAAUCUCACUCUAAUGUCCAUAGAUAAUAAGAUUGAACUGAAUAUUAGCAAAGGAUGGUAUGGUUUGGGCCUUGGGUGGUUGGUGAGGGAUCUUAAUUUGUAGAAGCUCCUAAAGCAAUUGCGCUAAUGGGUUGGGCCCUCUACGAGUAUACGACUUAAGUGUUGGUCCCAAAAAAGUAGAAGUCCACAUGGUUCUGUUUAGUGUUAUAUAUGAGCUGCUCCAAACUUUAUAAAAAAAAAAAAAAUCGAGGAAAAGAUAUAGUUAAGACUAUAACUCUUUUUCAAAUGAUCUUUUAGAUAUAUUUAAAUCAAUCUACUAUAUUAAGGAGAAGAAGUAAAUAUUUGUGAAGUGAUGGUCAUGUUGGUCUUACUAAUAAUAUGAGAAAUAGAACGUUUCACCAAUUUAACCCAUAGUAUUAAUAUUUAGUUAAGUCGGUCAUCGGACACUUUUUAUUUCACCAUUGAUUAUUUACGCACCUCAACACUUAUUAAAUAAAUUCGAAUAAGAAUUUUAUUUCCAUAAAGUGGGUUAUUAUUGAAUGAUGAAAUUUCAACCAUCAUUCUAUGAUUCUAAUUCUCAUUUUUUCUUACAGUUUUGUCAUCUAAAUUGAUGGAAGAGUGAAUGGAAGGAAUAUGAUAUUCCUACGCAAUCCAUCUUUUAUUUAUCCUUUUCAAACUAUCAGCCUGUAAUUUUAUUUUUUUUGUAUAUACUUUAAGUUUUAUAAGUUCUGCCUUUCAUUAAGCAUUUAGACUUUAUUUGAAAAGCAGAAAAAAAGAAAAUAAUGGAAGAAGAAAUGUAAUGGAAUAUAUUUUACAUUAAAUAAUAUAAUUUUCUCAAUUUAUUCAUUAUUUUGAUGAGCACUAGAGAAAAAUAGUGUUUUUUUUUUUUUUGUUUAAUAUUUUCUCGCCCUUAUAAAUAAAAGAAAAUCUUUUUCCUUAUAUUUUUUUUGCAUAUAUAUAUUCUUAAAAAAAUCCUCUAUUUCAAACAAAUCCUCAAUCACAAACUAUCUAUUCUUCGAGUUACAAUCCAAAUCUCUACCAAAAAUAUGCAAAAGAAAACGACAAGUUUGACAAAAAGAGAAUUAAAUUUGUGGUUCAAAAUGAAAUAUAUAUUAGUGAUUAGGAGGAUACGUACAAGCCAAUCCAAUCCAAUCCAUGAUCUUCAGGUGCAAAGUGUAAAUGAGUAUACCGCUUGCGUGCGUCAUUUAGAUGAUGAAAUCAACGGUGAGAGUGGGAUCAGCAGAGAAGUCGGCAACCAAUAGAUUACCGCCGGAAAAGGCACAUGUUGUCUUAAUGAAUUAGAGAAAUCAAUUUGACUACCAAUUUAUGAAGUUAUUGAUUAGAUUAAAUUUCAUCAAUUUGAAGUAGAGAAAUUUAUCAUAAUUCUACUAUAUUGAUACAUGAUAGUGAGCUAUUCAUGAGUAUUUUUAAAAUUUACACGUUUAUCAUAAUUAUAAUUAGUUCAAAAUUGGUAGCAUUACUUGUCUCACGUGUGUGCAGGUGCUCUGAACUAUGCUUCUAUGGUUCCUAUUCUAUUCGUGAACAUGCCGAACCAAACCGAUCCAAACGAGUAGUCUUAAUAUGAUAUUUAUUCACUGGUGGUAGGAUGGUGUUUGAUAAACACAGUUGUAUUUAUAAUUUGUCAGAUAUAAAAGAUUUCUAGAUUUUUACGUCUCUCUAGUUCCAAAAUUUAAAUAUGAGAAAAGAUGCCCGGCAAGAAAAUUAAUACAUCCUUUGCUUAUAUAUAGAGUGUACUAUAGACACUCUUUCUGACAAACAACUCACAACCCAGCAAAAGAAAAUGAGAGAAACAGAGUACAAAGGCCAUGUCGUUUUGCUUCCAUAUCCAAGCCAAGGCCACAUUAACCCUCUUCUCCAAUUUGCUAAGCUUUUAGCUUCCAAAGGUCUUAAAGCCACAUUAGCCACAACCCAUUAUACCGUUAAGUCCAUAUGGGCUCCAACCGUCACCGUUGAACCCAUCUCCGAUGGCUUUGACGACGGUGGCUUUUCUCAGGCGAAAGACGGUGACUUAUUCCUUAACUCCUUUAAAGUCAAUGGCUCAAGAACUCUGUCUCAGCUAAUAGAAAAAUUCAAAUGCUCAAAUUUUCCAGUUAAUUGUAUUGUGUAUGAUUCUUUUCUGCCGUGGGCUCUUGACGUGGCCAGGCAACAUGGAAUCUAUGGAGCCUCAUUUUUCACUAAUUCAGCUUCUGUUUCCCACAUUUUCUGUCGUUUACACCAUGGCUUACUUACUCUGCCUCUGGAGCCAGAGAAUAUGCCUUUGGUGUUACCUGGAAUUCCUCCAUUGAACUACUGUGACUUGCCAACUUUUCUCAGGUAUCCUGACAGCUACCCUGCUUAUUUGGCUAUGAAAUUGAAUCAGUUUUCUGACUUGGACACGGCUGACUGGAUUUUUGCAAAUACAUUUGAAGACUUGGAAAGCAAGGUAUGCAAACAUAUAUUUCCCAGAAAAAAAAAAUACAAAAUAGAAAUCAACAACAUAACUGCACAAAUCAGAGAAAAAAAAAUGGCGCGAAAGAGUAAAGAUCUCUUUUUUUUUAAAAAAAAAAUAUUAUUUGAUUAAUUGAUAUUUUUUAAAAAAAAACUAUAUUUGUGCUGAUCCAUAUUAAUUAAUAUUGGAUUGUAUGUCCAAAUAGGAGGCAGGAGGCAUAUCCAAGCUUUGGCCCGCGAAAUUGAUAGGUCCGAUGGUUCCAUCUUUCUAUUUGGAUGGCCGGAUUGAAGGGGACAAAGGGUAUGGAGCAAGCCUCUGGAAACCACUUGGGGAAGAGUGCCUUAGAUGGCUAGAAACAAAGCAACCUCAAUCAGUAGUGUAUAUUUCUUUUGGUAGCAUGGUUUCAUUAACAGAGACGCAAAUGGAAGAAAUUGCAUUGGCCUUGCAGGAAAGCAACUUAGAUUUCUUGUGGGUUGUGAGGGAAUCGGAAAUGGGUAAACUUCCAAAUGGGUUCAUAGAGUCAGCCCAUGAGAAGGGUCUAAUAGUAACAUGGUGCAACCAACUUGAAAUGCUAGCAAACCAAGCCAUUGGUUGCUUUGUGACUCACUGUGGGUGGAAUUCCACUCUUGAAGCCUUGAGCUUAGGCGUUCCAAUGGUGGCCAUGCCGCAAUGGACCGAUCAGGUGCCUAACUCAAAGUUUGUGGAAGAUGUUUGGAAAAUAGGGGUUAAAGGGAAAGAAGAUGAUAAAGGAGUUGUUAGAAAACAAGAAGUGAUUAGAUGUUUGAAGGAAGUAUUGGAAGGAAAGAAAAGCCAAAAAAUCAAGAAAAAUGCAAGAAAAUGGAGAAAGGCAGCUAGAGAAGCAGUCGGUGAAGGCGGAAGCUCUGAUAAGCAUAUUAAUGAUUUUGUUCAAUGUUUGGCAUUUGCUAAUAGGAGAGGUCUAGAUUUGCACUAGUUAUCAAAUAGUUGAUCUUUUUACAUUUGGUACUUAAAGCUAGUUCUGUCAAUUGUAUCUGGUAUAAUUCCAUGCAAAUCAUAUUAUAAAUUCACAACAAAAAUAAUAAAAGAAUUAAAAAGAAUAUACAUAGAUACAACUUAAAUAAGACUGCUGCAACAUAAAGGUUAAGCUCUAGAAAACUAGCGAAACCGACUAUGAUAUCCUUACACCAAAUAGGAAGACAUGAGAUUCCAACUAAUUUUCAUGUGGGUCGGCAUCGAUGCCACAAACCGAAGAAGAUCUGGCUUUGCACUAAGAGCAGGGUGAAUAUUUUUCGACUUCUGAUUCAAAACAUCAAGGAAUUUCGCAAUGUUUGGGAGUACGAGUUCCCUGCAAUGGAGAUGUAACAAUGGGACUUUUGACAAGACGCUUCCCUUUUGAACGUCUAUGCCUUCUGGUCUCCGCAAUUUGUAUGGUUUCCCAGAAAAUGGCUCAAUAUCAACACGAGGCAUUUGCUUCCAUCUCCGAUGCAUAAACCAACCAUACUUGUAAUCACCAACAAUUGGUGUCCCGAGAGCUUCGGCACAAUGCACACGGAGCUUUGUAGAUAUUGAACAAACAAAAUCAGAUACAGUUCCAAUCAUCUUAAGAAGGUACACAAUACAUAAAUAAUCAAACAAAUCCCACCUAUAGAAGGAAAAAGAAUCAACCAGCAGCACUUAGCCAUUGCUCAAAUUAUUGGCAGUUACUUUCAUUUUAGUAGUGCCAAUCACAUCAAAUAAGGAUAACCAUUUUAGUAAUACCUGAUGUUUUCGGCUGGUGAGUGGGCAUAGCUCAACCCAUGAGCAUCCAUUUAUUGUAGGACCUAACACUCGAUAUUCAGUUAAAGCUUCUUGGGAAGCUUCAAAACCUGAAUUCUGGGCCAAGACAAUUCUCUCAGUCUUCCCAUCAUUCAGAAGCACCUACAAUAUGCAACAAUGAUUUAAAGAAAAACCUCACUAUCCUUCGAGAUGUCCUGAAAGAUACCAUUUACUGCUUCACCUUCCAGCAUAAACACACACACACACAUACAGAGACAGAGAAACAGAGAACCUUCGAAAGUGGAGCUCGAAUCAAGCCUUCCUUUUCCUUUGGAGAGCCUAUAAUCAAUGCCCAGUACCGUUGACAUGUUGCUUGACAUGCAUCAUUCCAAUCCUAAAUUGCCAGACACAUGUCACAGUUCUAAACCAAAAGGAGGAAGCAAUAACCAUCUAUCCUACUAUAUGUCAUAUAAAACGCUGACAGUCCUCAUGUUACAUUACAACAUCAAUAACAUAAAUACCUUACAAUAGGAAUUUGAUUUCUUUUGGUCACUAAACAUCCACUGAAGAUGAUCAACACUUUCUUUUGUUCGGCCCAUUAAGAUGAGACCACUGCUUUCUCUAUCAAGGCGCUGCACCUGGUAAUUUGCAUGAUGAGAAUAACUACAUCAGUAGUUGGAAGAUUUGUAAGAAUUAUAGAAAAACUAAUCUAAAUUUGAAAAGAUAAAAUAGAGAGACGAUUGAAAAUUUUAACAUUCAUAUUUGGACAAAUAUUUCAAAAAUGAACAUGAAGCCAGCCGCUGUACAAGUCACUUCCUAGAAGCUUACCAGCUUAGGUCCCUCAUCAUAAUCAUAUGUCAAAGCUGCAGCUGCCAAUGCAUCCAUGCUAUUGUGAACUGGAAGAUUCCCCUAUAAAAGUAAAAUACAAGAAUAAAUCAACAAAGGCAACAAAAUUUGCAAAGACAAAUCAAUUAGCAUAUGCAAAAUACUACAAAUUGGAACCUUUAUUGGCAAUUUUGGGGGUUUGUUUAGCACGAUUAUAGCAGAGUCCUAAAAAUUUGAUAAGAAAAUAGUAAAGGAAUUAGCAACAUAUGGAUAAGAGAAUACAACAGAAAUUUCAACAUAUGCAUCCACCAAGGCAAAACUAGCAUAUGCAAGACAUUCAGAAUUUUUCUUAGAUGAAAAGGAAAAAAAGUGAAAUUAAGACAUACCUUGUACUUGACAAGCCUCUGUAAAUAUUCAAUCUCAUCAGCAUUUGGAUAUAAAGUUCCACUUGGAAUGGUGUCAAACCUCUUGGAAAUCCUAGUCUCAGCUACUGACACAGGUAUGAGAACUCUUGCCCCUACCUCCAUGACAUCACUAGGCUUAAUCUGUGUUGUAGUAUGUUCCACCCAUAUUGUAUCACAUAAAGUUCAAAGAGAUAGAUAAAAUAGAAAGAAGAAAAUUUCAGCAUAAUUGAUUAUAUUCACGAGUAUACCUUUCUCAUAAAGGUUUCUCCUCCAUGUUGCAUACACUCCAUUUGAACCUAGUAAGAAAAGGGGUUGAAAGAGACAGAUCAAGAUGAUUAAUCAACACAAACAAACACAAAACAGAUAUUACACGGGACUUGUUUACUCACAAGGCCCCUGUUAAAAUGUGACUGUAUCACAGAGUCGGGGAUUUCAUCAAAGUAGUAUUUGACCCAGCUAAUGGCAGUGACACGGGAUGCCACUGAAGUCUUUCCAGGCAAAGGGAGGCCGGGGAAUGGAGGUAAUGAUAAAAGCUGUCGCGGCUUGGGUCCGUCUUUUGGAGAGCCCAAGUAAGCAACAUUAUUUGAGACUCUAAUGACUGGUUGCGCAUAGGCAGGAGGUGGUGCAGCUAUUCUUGAGUAGCUUCUAACUUUAGAUAGCACUCGCUUGCAAUGAAUGUUCUUCCACAUUGUUGUGCAUGCUAAAAGAUGCAAGAUCAAAGAGAGUCCUACAAAUACAGAAGAAAAAGAAAUUCUGUUUACAGCCAAAGUGUGCAACAUAGGGAGAUUCUCUGUACUUUGCCCAGACGUUGAAUCAAAUCAAACAUGAAAAAAAAAAAGAGCAGCUUAUCCUUUAUUUUGAUCCUGAGGAGCUGAGGAGGGACCAAGUUGAUCUAAGGAUAAUAAUAGAAAUAGAAGAAAAUGCUAUCAGACUAUUUAUCAAGCUAUAGAGAUUCUGUCGGAAAUCCGACAAAGUCUCCCCUAAAAACUGGACUUAACCACCUGUUUAUAAUCCACAACUCAAUAAACAAUUUUUAAAGCUCAUCCAUUAGGCAAUUCACAUCAACUAAAUCCCAUCCACUAUUCUCAUAAUCUAUCAAUAACUUAAUUUCAGUUCAAUUCAACUUCAUUAAUGAGAUUACCUAAUAUAUGAGAUCUGUAAUAGAAUACCCAUUUCCAUUCUUAUCAUUCUUAUAAUCAAUUCAAAUAGUUACAUUAAUCAACUACGUUAUCCUUUUAUCAUUUAUUGACUACGAAGGAAUUUACAUGGAUUAAACUAUUCCAUUAUUAAGCUAUUAAGCUAUUCUUAAACUACAUUAUCAUUCUUAUCGUCCUAGUUCACAACCCAACUUGACAUUUAAUCAAACUAUUCCAUCAAUGGUUAUCCAAUACAUGAUUAUACAUACCCAAUAAUCCCUUUAAUCUAUUAAGCUUAAUAAUAAUAACUUAAUCAUGAGUUAUGCGGCCAAGACUUAAAUUCAAUAAGUGUUAACUAUCUUAUAAACUAACCAACUGUCCCUGUCUAAUGCUUAACAGUUUCACAUCAGUUUCUAAUAAAUUUCAGCUUCAAAGCCCCAAUAAUGUAAAUUCGGUAAUUCGAGUACUGAAUGGAUUCAACUCGGAAAACUAAUUUCAUAUGCAUAAUCUACGCGAGAAGCACAAUAUUGUGAGUGUAGAGGUGUUGGUCACCGGAAACCGUAGCCAGCUGGCGGUGGCCGGAAAAUGACCUUCACCAAAAAUUGCGACAUCACAGUCAAAGUGCUCUGAAUUCUAUGUAGAAUCCUAAUUUAAAGUCAAUUUCUAAUACUCAGGACAAUUUCAAGCUUAUUCCCAAAUUUUCCGAAAAUUUAGCCUAAUCUUAAACUUUUACAAUUUCUACACAGCCUUGCAAAAUCGAUCAAAGAUAAUCGACAUAGGUGUCUUAGGAAGAUGAUUAAAGCUCACAUUGCCGAUUGAAGUCGCCGGAAACGGUUCAGGCGAGUUGGACAGGCGCCGGUUUGCAACCAACCUCUCUCUCUUGAUCGAUGGCACCACAAAACGGAAGGAAAGUUGCUGUUGAAGU
rnacentral:lncRNA from 1 species